UACGUAGGGUGCAGGCGUUAAUCGGAAUUACUGGGCGUAAAGCGUGCGCAGGCGGUUUGCUAAGUCAGGCGUGAAAUCCCCGGGCUUAACCUGGGAACUGCAUUGGUGACUGGCAGGCUAGAGUAUGGCAGAGGGGGGUAGAAUUCCACGUGUAGCAGUGAAAUGCGUAGAGAUGUGGAGGAAUACCGAUGGCGAAGGCAGCCCCCUGGGCCAAUACUGACGCUCAUGCACGAAAGCGUGGGGAGCAAACAGG
rnacentral:rRNA from 1 species